UACGAAGGGGGCUAGCGUUGUUCGGAAUUACUGGGCGUAAAGCGCACGUAGGCGGCUUUCUAAGUCGGUGGUGAAAUCCUGGAGCUCAACUCCAGAACUGCCUUCGAUACUGGAGAGCUCGAGUCCGGGAGAGGUGAGUGGAACUGCGAGUGUAGAGGUGAAAUUCGUAGAUAUUCGCAAGAACACCAGUGGCGAAGGCGGCUCACUGGCCCGUAACUGACGCUCAGGCGCGAUAGCGUGGGGAUCAAACAGG
rnacentral:rRNA from 1 species